rnacentral:rRNA from 1 species
CCGCUUGCAGGUAAACAGAUGGACCCACGAAGUCCAGUUGAGCAAGAGAUUCAUAUCCUUCAAUAGACAAGGUGAACAGGGAAGUCCCAAGCGGAGUGAUCUGUUCACUGCUCAUUGUCGAUCGAAGGAUGCAUUUCUCUUGCUCACGAUGGAGCUCUGACUGCUCUAACUGACUUGACCGCUUAUGGCCGCCUCAGAAUGUGGUUGAUUCCUACGGUUUCAAAUCACAUUCAGAGGUGAAGUGAGUCAAGUCGAAUUGAGCAGUUGAAAUUCUUACAUUGUAAGUUUUCAGGUUGUCGGUAUUCACUUGAUGCAGUCAAAGAUGAUAACAGUGACGCUCUUUCGACUCUUGUAGUUGAAGACGUUCUGUUAAUAUACUCAUCUUUAUGCACUGCAUCAAGUAGUAUCAUGAUGAUAAUCCAGAGUAAGUAGGUCGGUCAUCCAUCUGACCCGUCUUGAAACACGGACCAAGGAGUCCAACAUUUACGCGAGUCGCUCGGUCUUGCUUAGGCCUGAGAGGCGAAAUAAACAUAACGGUAUGAUCCCAUACUCACCUUUCGAGGUAGUUGGGCGCAAUACCAACCUGCUUAUUCUGCCUUUUGACAGAUAAGUGGAGUUUGAGCGUAAAUGUUGGUACCCGAAAGAUGGUGAACUAUACUUGGGCAAGACGAAGCCAGAGGAAACUCUGGUGGAGGUCUGUAGCGAUUCUGACGUGCAAAUCGAUCGUCAGACCUGAGUAUAGGGGCGAAAGACUAAUCGAACCAUCUAGUAGCUGGUUCCUUCCGAAGUUUCCCUCAGGAUAGCUGGCACUAAACUACUCUGUAGCAUCCGGUAAAGCGAAUGAUUAGAGGUAUUGGGAUCGAAACGAUCUCAACCUAUUCUCAUACUUUAAAUGGGUGCGAGAACAUGACUUGUUUGCUCUAAAGUCAUGCUUCGUAAGAGUAGUGCCAAGUGGGCCAUUUUUGGUAAGCAGAACUGGCGCUGUGGGAUGAACCAAACGUCGAGUUAAGGCACCAAAUGCUGACGCUCAUGAGACCCCAUGAAAGGUGUUGGUUGCUAUAGACAGC